rnacentral:rRNA from 1 species
CCCUACGGGGUGCCGCGCCCGGACCAGUGCGAACCGUUCGCCCGCGUGCUGCAGUCGCUCGGCGUGCGGCGGGCGAUGGUCGUUUGCGGGGCGGUGCCCGGCGAGGACGGCGCCAUGCGGCAUUUGGACGAGCUUUCGCCCUUGGGGCCGACGACGCUUGCUGAAUUCUACCAGGAACGCGCGAUGGCCUGUUCGACACUGUCGCCUGAGCCGUUUCCAAUCCAAUCCGCGACCCUGGCGGACCUGCGCGGCGGCGACCGCGAAGUCAACGCGACGAUUAUUCGGCG